rnacentral:rRNA from 1 species
AGCAGCCGCGGUAAUUCCAGCUCCAAUAGCGUAUAUUAAAGUUGUUGCAGUUAAAAAGCUCGUAGUUGAAUUUCGGGGUCAAUACGUCGGUCGUGCCUUCGGUAUGUACUGGUGUUAUUGAUCUCUCCCUUCUGAUGAAUCAUGAUGUCAUUAAUUUGGUGUCGUGGGGAGUCAGGACUGUUACUUUGAAAAAAUUAGAGUGUUUAAAGCAGGCUCACGCUUGAAUACAUUAGCAUGGAAUAAUGAAAUAGGACGUUCGAUCCUAUUUUGUUGGUUUCUAGGAUCAACGUAAUGAUUAAUAGGGAUAGUUGGGGGCAUUAGUAUUCAAUUGUCAGAGGUGAAAUUCUUGGAUUUAUUGAAGACUAACUACUGCGAAAGCAUUUGCCAAGGAUGUUUUCAUUAAUCAAGAACGAAAGUUAGGGGAUCGAAGACGAUCAGAUACCGUCGUAG